CCAGUUAAUCAGCUGAUCAGUUCUCAUGAAACUAUUUACUCUAUUGAAAGAAUCAUGAACUCUGUCAGGAUGAGGAAUAAGAAGUAUUUCACAAAUACACAGAUGAAAAUAAAGGAUUACGUAGAUCAGUGCAAAAAGGACUUUAAUCAACCUUUAAAAAAUUCGAGAGAUCAAUGCAAAAACUCUUUGUAAUACUACAAAUAAUAAAUCAAUUUUCGAUCAACUGAGAGUCCAAAUUGAUGAAGCUUCACAAUCUGUCUGAAACACGAGCACGAUGCAAACUUAAAUAAAUUAAAUG